CCCCAGACCACCAUCACAGAUCAGACUUACAGAUAGACAUGUGUGGGUUGAUCCAAUGCAGAUCAGGUAAAAAGAACUUCCUGAGAGAAUACACCAUGAUGGAAGAAGAGAAGUCAGAGCCAGCAAUUGAUCCUGAUUGCAGAUGAUGAGAAAAGUGAGGCACAGAGAGGUUAAAUCAUUGGUAUGAAGCAGCUCAGCCAGCAGAAAUUCCACUACAGCAACUCUGUUCUCACUAUGUCACCCAAGCUGGAGUGCAGUGGCACAACCUCAGCUCACUACAGUCUCAACCUCCCAGGCUCAAGUGAUUCUCCCACCAGCCUCCCAAGUAACUGGGACUACAAGGCGUGCACCACCACACCCAGUUAAAUCUCCACCCUUCUUAAUGAGGAAAACUACCAUACAGCAUUUCUGAGUUGGAAGCCCCUUAAAGAUCCCUCCUUGUCCUUUCCCUUCUGCCUUUACCUCUCACCACUCAGCCUGCAAAUAAUAAAGUUUCUCGAUUAUUUCA
rnacentral:lncRNA from 13 species